GGGCGAUUAGCUCACUUGGUUAGAGCGUUGCAUUGACAUUGCAAAGGUAACAGGUUCGAAUCCUGUAUCGCCCA
rnacentral:tRNA from 1 species